rnacentral:lncRNA from 1 species
GGAAUUGCUUGCUUGGAUGUGGCUAUCUUUAUUUGAUUCCUUGAUCUUCAUAAUGUCUGGAUAUUGCUAAUUGCUCCUUUAUUAUUGCUUGAUUCAAAUUCCAAAGGGAAAGUGAGUUUUCUAUAUGACAUUUUUGUAUGUUGGAUUGCAUCCCAUUGGUCAUAUCUUUUCAACUCUAAACUUUUAAUUUGUGUUUAGGAUA